AUUGAACGCUGGCGGCAGGCCUAACACAUGCAAGUCGAACGAGUGGCGGACGGGUGAGUAAUGUCUGGGAAACUGCCCGAUGGAGGGGGAUAACUACUGGAAACGGUAGCUAAUACCGCAUACCAUCGGAUGUGCCCAGAUGGGAUUAGCUAGUAGGUGGGGUAACGGCUCACCUGGGCGACGAUCCCUAGCCGGUCUGAGAGGAUGCCGAGCAACACGGGAACUGGGACGCGGUCCAGAUUCCGACGUGAGGCAGCAUUGGGGAUUAUGGCACAGUGGGCGCAAGCCUGUUGCAGCCAUGCCGCGAGACUGAAGAAGACCAUCGGGUUGUAAAGUACUUUCAGCGAGGAGGCGUUACUCGCAGAAGAAGCACCGGCUAACUCCGUGCCAGCAGCCGCGGUAAUAC
rnacentral:rRNA from 1 species